GGAAUCAUAUGGACCUUGGUGGUUAUCAGGGAAGAUGUGAAUGGGCAUGAUAACUUUAGUUAGAGUACAUUCUCCCCACCAUAAACCAGCCAUCUUUGAUUUGAGUUGCAUGUCACCAAUAGAUAUCUCCCACAGACUUAAUCUGAUUUACUGAUAAUGUUGUGGGUGAAUUCCGGUAAAUUGCAUAAUAACCAGGGGGAAAUUUGCCUACGAAUCUACCUGUGGUUCCGUGCAUUGUAUAGCAAGUGUAAUUACCUGGGUACACGGUGACUCCAUCCGGUGGUCUGGUGUUCCCUUGAGUAAUUGGGUAAGCCUUUUUCCAUGACUCACAUGCUGAUGAAUUUAC